GAUGGAUGCUGGCGGCGUGCCUAACACAUGCAAGUCGAGCGGCAGCGCGGUCUUCGGACUGGCGGCGAGCGGCGGACGGCUGAGUAACGCGUGGGAACAUACCCCAAAGUGAGAAAUAACUGCCCGAAAGGGUAGCUAAUGCCGCAUAUGGUCUUCGGAUUAAAGGAUUUAUCCGCUUUGGGAACGGCCUGCGUACGAUUAGAUUGUUGGUGAGGUAAUGGCUCACCAAGUCGACGAUCGUUGACUGGUCUGAGAGGAUGAUCAGUCAGACUGGAACUGAGACACGGUCCAGACUCCUACGGGAGGCAGCAGUGAGGAAUCUUCCACAAUGGGCGAAAGCCUGAUGGAGCAACGCCGCGUGCAGGAUGAAGGCCUUCGGGUCGUAAACUGCUUUUAUAAGUGAAGAAUAUGACGGUAACUUAUGAAUAAGCACCGGCUAACUACGUGCCAGCAGCCGCGGUAACA
rnacentral:rRNA from 1 species